UACAGAGGGCUCAAGCGUUGUUCGGAUUCAUUGGGCGUAAAGGGUGCGUAGGUGGCAUGGUAAGUCGGCUGUGAAAUCCCGGGGCUCAACCCCGGAACUGCAUUCGAUACUGCUGCGCUAGAGUACUGGAGAGGAGAUUGGAAUUUACGGUGUAGCAGUGAAAUGCGUAGAUAUCGUAAGGAAGACCAGUGGCGAAGGCGGAUCUCUGGACAGUUACUGACACUGAGGCACGAAGGCCAGGGGAGCAAACGGG
rnacentral:rRNA from 1 species